UGUAAUGCCAAUGCUGGUUUAUUUGAAUUGCUGCCAUUCUGAUGCAUAGUCCUUAAAAAAUGCGAAACAAAAUGCAAAGACUUGCGUUGUGACAGCAGACGCCAAAUUAACAACAGAUAAAACAUAAUUUUACAAAAGUAACUUGGUUCCAAUUGUUUGUAGAUACCUUAGAAAAGUAGCUUGCAAAAUCUCCCUGCCAACUUACAAACGCAGGCUGAUGAGGGCUGGUUUAGAUCUCGCGAAAAAACACAUUUCUCCGGGUGCUCGUUUCUGGCCGUUAGAGGAAUGAAAUCUGAAGGAGGGUGCGGGACUUUGACGGAGCGAGCAACUUUCAAACACACACACUCAGACAGAGAGAGCCCCAAGUCCCUCCCAUUGAGCUGACAUCUCAAACAAAACUGAGAGCAGAUGAGAGAGAACCGCCAGGAAAGGUCGAAUUGGAUGGACCUUCCGGAGGCGAUGACUUCCAUAUGACAUGAGGGGAUGGGAUGCAGCCUGACAGAAACCUCACAAAAGGAAGCCGCUGCUGUUUCAGGGGAGAGGCGUACUCGUGCUCCCACACACUCCAGGCUCACUUGGAGAGACUCAGAGCAACAUUUCCCCAGGGCACAGCGGGGAAUUGGACAGCGUGCCUGAAUCUGCAACUUGCCCUGCAUUUACCUCAAAGCGUUGAGACUGGAAUGCCGAAAGCCAACAGGGAUCUAUCUCCCCCAAGGGGAAAGGCAACCCCGAGAGCGCUCUGCUCAACGAGAAAGUGAGGUCUUGAAGCGCCCCAAGAGUUUCUGAAUCCAAAGCGAGCCCCUUCCGAGAGGACCCAAGUGUGGCUGACAGGGAAGGGGAUCAGAGCCAGGCUGCAGCAUGUCCGCCUCGGAGAGCACCAGGGAUCAUUUGGAUCUGGUUUACAUUGCUGUCGAGGUGCUGAUCGCUGUGGCCUCGGUGCUGGGCAAUGUGCUGGUCUGCUGGGCAGUCAAGAUCAACCGUGCACUCAGGGACACCACCUUCUGCUUCAUCGUCUCCCUGGCUCUCGCUGAUAUCGCCGUGGGGGCUCUGGCCAUUCCCGUGGCCAUUACUAUCAGCCUGGGCUUAAAGACACAAUUCUACAGCUGUCUCUUUAUCACCUGCAUUCUGAUAACGCUGACUCAGAGCUCCAUACUGUCCCUUCUGGCUAUCGCUGUGGAUCGCUAUCUUCGGGCCAGGAUCCCCACCAGGUAUAAGACUAUUGUUACACAAAAAAGAGCAUGGAUUGCUGUUGGAAUCUGCUGGCUUGGAUCUAUUCUGAUUGGGCUAACUCCAAUGUUUGGCUGGCACAACCGAAGCAACGGAGACGUGCAAAAGGAGGAAAUGAAUUCUAGCUACAAAUACAUCAUAUGCAAUUUUACAAAGGGCAAUGCCUUCACCAGUGAGGGGGAACCGACCGAAUUCAAAUUUAAACAAAGUUCGGAAACAAGCUUGGGGAGACCCUUCCCUUUGAACAACCUGUCGUGCUCCCAGGAAGCCUAGGAUCAAGGCUGUCCACCAAGAUUGUGUCAAUAUGGAUCCAAAACUGACCUGAGUUGGGAAUCCUUCAAGCUGCUCAUGGAAUCGAUAAAGUACUGAAGAAUCUGGUUUUCAGAAUCUUCUUUGUAUCUCCAGUUCCAGUUGACCCUUUAACUGAAGGAAUUGAAACUGAACACUGCUUGUGGACAUGAUGCCAAUUCUGGUGCACAGAAUAUUUUAGAAGCUAUAAGUUGCUGACAUGGACCAACAAUGUUCGUGUUGUCUUGUUUCGAACCACAAACAAGCUGACUCUAGAAGCAAGUUUUACUUGAUGCAAAAAAAAGCUUGAAGAUUACAGCUUACAAAACUAAGAUGAUGUUGCUCAAGUUACUGAUGCUAUUUGUAUAUAGCUGGUGGUCAAAAAUAGUGAAGACCGCAUGGAACAUUCCAUUAAGCCUCACCAUUGCCACAUUGUUCAGGGGCUGGGAGAAUUCAGCCUCUUGGAUGUUUCCAGGAUUUGGAUCGAGAAUACAGCUCCCCUCUAUGGCUGGGCAUAUUCCUGGAGGCGUCAGUGAAAGUCACAUCAAGAAAAACUUCUGUACUCAUUCAUAAGAGGCUUGAUGAUGAUCUGUCAUCAUAGUUUCAACAGGAAUAUUAAAAGCUGUUCAA